rnacentral:rRNA from 1 species
GACGAACGCUGGCGGCGUGCUUAACACAUGCAAGUCGAACGGAAAGGCCCUGCUUUUGUGGGGUGCUCGAGUGGCGAACGGGUGAGUAACACGUGAGUAACCUGCCCUUGACUUUGGGAUAACUUCAGGAAACUGGGGCUAAUACCGGAUAGGAGCUCCUGCUGCAUGGUGGGGGUUGGAAAGUUUCGGCGGUUGGGGAUGGACUCGCGGCUUAUCAGCUGGUUGGUGGGGUAGUGGCUUACCAAGGCUUUGACGGGUAGCCGGCCUGAGAGGGUGUCCGGCCACAUUGGGACUGAGAUAGGGCCCAGACUCCGACGGGAGGCAGCAGUGGGGAAUAUUGCACAAUGGGCGGAAGCCUGAUGCAGCAACGCCGCGUGCGGGAUGACGGCCUUCGGGUUGUAAACCGCUUUCGCCUGUGACGAAGCGUGAGUGACGGUAAUGGGUAAAGAAGCACCGGCUAACUACGUG